CACGCGGUAAACGAUGAUUGCUAGGUGUAGGUGGGUAUGGACCCAUCGGUGCCGCAGCUAACGCAAUAAGCAAUCCACCUGGGGAGUACGUUCGCAAGAAUGAAACUCAAAGGAAUUGAC
rnacentral:rRNA from 1 species